rnacentral:lncRNA from 1 species
GGACAGAGAGGGCAUUUAACUGAUGAGGGGUUAGUGGUGCUGAGCCUUCUGGAGGAAGCCCUGUGUGCAGCAGGGAGUUGAAUGAGGUGGGAGGACCUGAGAGGGGGAGUUCACUGCAUGAACAGCAGAAGAUAUAGAGGAAAUGAUUCCAAGCCAACAAGGCUCAGAGUCAGGGAGGACAGUGGGGACACAGCGAUAGCAGAGAGGCCCUGGAAAGCAAAAUAACGACUUCAAUCCUAGGGCUGGAGAAGUAAGAUGCGAUCCCCUCCAGCAAUAUCCUGAUGACAACCUAAAAGUUAAUGAAUGCGAAAGUGAAGAUGGCACAGAACACUGGGACAAAGGAUGUCCUUGAUGCUUGUCCCAUCUUCAGCAAAUUGAGAGGUAGAUCCGAGCCUCAAGAACUGUAGACAACAAUAAACAACCCUACAAGAAGGAGGCUGGGCUGCUGCCAGAGCCAGAUCUGCUGGAAAUCAGUGUAAUUCCACUGGUAUGCUAUCUGAGAAGGGAGCAUCAUCCAUUUUCAGCAGCUGAAGACUCCCUGGGAGUCCCCAUAGAGGCACAUGGUGCUGCAAAACGUGGACAGAUGGAUCAUGUAUCCCUCAGUACCCAGAGGACCAUCACACUUCAAGGGUAUCCUUCAUUAAAGCAGUGAUAGGAACCUAACAGUCUGCGUGUCCCUAGUUAACAGGAGCUGGUGACUGAAGGUCUGUAUAGACUGAAAGUCUAUGAUAAAGCUCCUAUUGACCGUAGUGAGAGCUUAAUUAGGGCUUUAAAGCCACACCUGGCAAAUAUCAUCCGAAUCACUGCAUCUUUCCAAAAAAAGCUCUCCUUUUGCUCGUUUCACAGCUCUGUGGUCCCAGGCACUCAGGAGGAACAGCAGAACAGCAGCCUGUGCCCACGGGCUCUCGAGACUGACUCCUCUUUCAUACACUCACUAAACUGUGUAGCAUUUAUGCAAUCCAGCAGGCUCCAUCUCAUAACUCCAGGCUAUUCUGAAAGAAAAGGAGAUAGCAUCGGUAUCAUAAACCUAACCUCACAUCGUCUGCUUUCAUGCUUCAGCUAACCCUAAUGUUUAUAGAUCACAUAUCCCAACCACUUCAGUUCAGCUCGCGACUGGUUUUCAAGUCCGUGGGCUCCAGGAAAAGACAUAAUGGGCUGUUCAGAUGGAAUUAAGGAAAAUAAAACCCCUUUAUAUUCUCUUGCAUGUAUUCAUUUUACCACCCUGGUCAUUCUAUAUUUGUCAAACGUCUUUUGAGGUUUCAUCUGAACUAUUUUUACAUCCAGAUUUUUCUGGGGAGUUUACCUUUAAUUCUUGAAAACUCUUCUAAAAACCCGCAGUGGAAAUGUCAAAGUGACACCUAAUGUUGUCUGAGGACUUGUGGGGGAUGUUUUUAAGGCAGUUUUAUGUGAUGUGCAAUUAUACAUAUAUAUAUGCUUAUGUGUAGUAAUUAAAAACCAAC